ensembl:lncRNA uncharacterized LOC115017959
AUUGAAACAACAAUCAUUUCAUCAUUAAAGAACAAAUUAAUCAUUAGUUUAUACAGUUAUUUAAUAUAAAUAUAUUAAAAAAAGACCUCAUGACUUUCUAUCCCUCUUGCGUAAUGAUGUGGUGUGUGUGUGUGUGUGUGUGUGUGUGUGUGUGUGUGUGUGUGUGUGUGUGUGUGUGUGUGUGUGUGUGUUUAUAGCUCAGGAUGAGGAUUUUCUUCGCUACUGUGCAUCAUUGUUUGCUGUCCCUGUCAGCAGCGGCAGGACUGAGCCUCAGAUUACUAAACCUGAAUCGUGCCUGGUCAUAGAAGUUCUGGAUGAGAGAGACAUACAUGGAGCGUUUGCUUCUGAACAGAGGACAGACGACAACAGAGAGGUUCCCUCUGCUCAGCAGACCCUCAGUUAUGCAACACUGGAGCCCCAAACAGCCGUUACCAGUGGGGGGUCCGUAAGAGUCAGCUGCUCUUCUCCCAGUCCAGCACCACCCAAACCAGCUCAGAAGCUCCAUCUAUCCAAGACUCGGACUUCAAAAUGUGAGCUUUGUGUUCUUUUUUAAAGGAUGAGUUAAAGAGAAAUGCUUUGUC